UACAGAGGUCUCAAGCGUUGUUCGGAUUCAUUGGGCGUAAAGGGUGCGUAGGCGGCUCGGUAAGUCGGGUGUGAAAUCUCGGGGCUUAACUUCGAAACUGCAUUCGAUACUGCCGUGCUUGAGGACUGGAGAGGAGACUGGAAUUUACGGUGUAGCGGUGAAAUGCGUAGAUAUCGUAAGGAAGACCAGUGGCGAAGGCGGGUCUCUGGACAGAUACUGACGCUGAGGCACGAAGGCCAGGGGAGCAAACGGG
rnacentral:rRNA from 1 species